rnacentral:rRNA from 1 species
CAGCCGCCGCGGUAAUACGUAGGGUGCAAGCGUUAAUCGGAAUUACUGGGCGUAAAGCGUGCGCAGGCGGUUAUAUAAGACAGAUGUGAAAUCCCCGGGCUCAACCUGGGAACUGCAUUUGUGACUGUAUAGCUAGAGUACGGCAGAGGGGGAUGGAAUUCCGCGUGUAGCAGUGAAAUGCGUAGAUAUGCGGAGGAACACCGAUGGCGAAGGCAAUCCCCUGGGCCUGUACUGACGCUCAUGCACGAAAGCGUGGGGAGCAAACAGGAUUAGAUACCCCUGUAGUCCCUGUCUCUUAUAC